UAAUUGAAGAGUUUGAUCAUGGCUCAGAUUGAACGCUGGCGGCAGGCCUAACACAUGCAAGUCGAGCGGCAGCACAGAGGAACUUGUUCCUUGGGUGGCGAGCGGCGGACGGGUGAGUAAUGCCUGGGAAAUUGCCCGGUAGAGGGGGAUAACCAUUGGAAACGAUGGCUAAUACCGCAUAACCUCGCAAGAGCAAAGCAGGGGACCUUCAGGCCUUGCGCUACCGGAUAUGCCCAGGUGGGAUUAGCUAGUUGGUGAGGUAAGGGCUCACCAAGGCGACGAUCCCUAGCUGGUCUGAGAGGAUGAUCAGCCACACUGGAACUGAGACACGGUCCAGACUCCUACGGGAGGCAGCAGUGGGGAAUAUUGCACAAUGGGCGCAAGCCUGAUGCAGCCAUGCCGCGUGUAUGAAGAAGGCCUUCGGGU
rnacentral:rRNA from 1 species